UAAUGAUAAUUUGUCAUUUGUUCUCAUUUAAUGAAAGCAUCACGUAUUGUAAUUUGGUGGUGUGAUUGAUGAGAACGUGAACUCAACCGUCAUUCUAAGUUAAGACAUACACUGCUUAUGAUGAACAAACCUCUUUCAAACUAUUCAAGCACAACAGAAAAUUUUAAAGUAACAUUUCUACUUGUCAUGACAAUAGAAAACUUAGAGAAAUACAACUUUAAUGUGGUUGUUAUGUUUAAGUGGUAUUUCAUAUUCUUCUUAAGAAGCAGUCAAAAAUUCUUUUCUAAUGUUUAAAAAAGGCUGUACUUCCUUUUUUUGUCAGUUGUUCGUCAUGGUCUUGUGUUUAGAUCGGUCAUUCCUCAAUUUGACAGGAAAAGAACAUAGAGUUCACAAUUUUACCAGAGUCAGUUCAGCUUUUUAAAGAAUAUUUGAAAUAUUAGAGAGGAAAAUGAAGCUGAUUUUAUUUCUUCUUGCCCUCUUGGAGAACGGAAUGAAUUCAACAGCAGGGCUCCGUGUGUUUUAUUCUUCUCAGCAAAUUAUCUUACAAUAUUUCUUUAACUCUCAUAAUAAUAUUAAUGUAAAAUCUUGUUGUAAGUUUUAUCAGUCGGAGUGCAUCACCUUUGUUAAUAACAGAGGAUAUGCUGCCAACCUGUAUAGAGGAAGAAUAUUCAUCACUAAUUAUGAUGGAAGAUUUGAAGUAAAAAUGACAAAGCUGAGCAUGAUGGAUGCUGGCAUAUACAGAUGUGGUAUCAGUGGCUUCUCUGCCACAUAUCAAUAUGUUCAAGUUACAGUUUCUGAAUGAACACAUUACGUCGGGGUAAACACAGUUCUUCUCUUGCCAAAAUCCUCCAUCAAACCAUCAGUCUGGCCC